rnacentral:rRNA from 1 species
UUUAAGUGUAAAUUUUUAACCUGGGUAUUAUUAGUUAUGUUCUUUAAACCCAAAGAAUUUGGCGGUACUUUAUACCAUUCAGAGGAACCUGUCUAUUAAUUGAUAGUACACGAUUUACUUUACUUAAUUUAUUGAUUUGUAUAUCUCCGUUAUCAGAAAAUCUUUUUGGAGUUAAAAUUUUCAAUUAUUAUAAAUAUAUUUUAUUUCAGGUCAAGGUGCAGUUUAUAAUUAAGUAUAUGAUGGGUUACAAUAAAUUAUAAUUUAUUACGGAUUUGGGUUGUGGAAUAUUCUAAUGAAGGUGGAUUUGAAAGUAAUUUAAUUUAUAUUAUUUAAUUGAUUUUGGCUCUAAAGUGUGU